GAUGAACGCUGGCGGCGUGCCUAAUACAUGCAAGUCGAGCGAACGGACGAGAAGCUUGCUUCUCUGAUGUUAGCGGCGGACGGGUGAGUAACACGUGGAUAACCUACCUAUAAGACUGGGAUAACUUCGGGAAACCGGAGCUAAUACCGGAUAAUAUUUUGAACCGCAUGGUUCAAAAGUGAAAGACGGUCUUGCUGUCACUUAUAGAUGGAUCCGCGCUGCAUUAGCUAGUUGGUAAGGUAACGGCUUACCAAGGCAACGAUGCAUAGCCGACCUGAGAGGGAGAUCGGCCAGACUGGAACUGAGAAACGGUCCAGACUCCUACGGGAGGCAGCAGUAGGGAAUCUUCCGCAAUGGGCGAAAGCCUGACGGAGCAACGCCGCGUGAGUGAUGAAGGUCUUCGGAUCGUAAAACUCUGUUAUUAGGGAAGAACAUAUGUGUAAGUAACUGUGCACAUCUUGACGGUACCUAAUCAGAAAGCCACGGCUAACUACGUG
rnacentral:rRNA from 1 species